CGUAAAGAAACCGCCUCAUAGACUGGGACAACUAUUGGAAACGAUAGCUAAUACCGGAUAACAGUAUUUCUCGCAUGAGAGAUAUUUAAAAGUUGGUUAUGCUAACACUAUGAGAUGGCUUUGCGGUGCAUUAGCUAGUUGGUGGGGUAAAGGCCCACCAAGGCGACGAUGCAUAGCCGACCUGAGAGGGUGAUCGGCCACACUGGGACUGAGACACGGCCCAG
rnacentral:rRNA from 1 species